rnacentral:tRNA from 1 species
GCUCCCGUAGUGUAAUGGAUAGCACGUCAGGUUCCGGUCCUGCCGGUGAGGGUUCGAGUCCUUCCGGGAGUACAA